rnacentral:rRNA from 1 species
UCCCACACAAAUAGGUCUCAGGCAUCUCUGAUCUUAUCUAAUCUCAGAAGCUAAGCAGGACUAGGACUGGUCAGUACUUGGAUGGGAGAUUGCUGGGAAUAUCAGGUGUCAUAGUGGGAA